rnacentral:tRNA from 1 species
GCAGUGGUUCAGUGGUAGAAUCCUUACCUUCCAUGUGGGAGACCCAGGUUUGAUUCCUGGCCAAUGCA